rnacentral:tRNA from 1 species
ACUUAAUUAGUUAAACUAGAAUAUUGAAUUGUGAUUUCAAAGGUGUAUAUAUAAGUACAUUAGGUC